GGAUGACCAGCCUGAGUAAAUUUAAAAUUUUAUUAUAAAACUUAACAUAAAUAAACAAAAUUAUUAAUUUAUUAAUUAAUUAUAUAACAGCGCUCUUAAUUAUGGUGGCCUUGGCACAAUAAUUGGUCAUGAAAUUUCACACGGUUUUGACGAUGUAGGCAGUCAAUUUAAUAAUGAGGGUAAUGCACAUAAUUGGUGGUCGAAUUCAACUAAAGCUGAAUAUGAAAGACGCGCUCAAUGUUUUGUUGAUGAAUUCGAUAAGUAUAGUUUUGUCCAGGGUAAUAAUGUUCAUAAAGUCAAUGCGCAACAAACAUUGACAGAAAAUAUUGCCGAUUCAACGGGUGUCAGAGCUGUUUUUGAGGCAUUUAAACGUCAUGCUGACAAGUCCUUGACAUCAAAUAUGAAAUUACCUGGUCUUGAACAUCUCAAUAGUUAUCAACUUUUUUUCUUAUCGUAUGCACACAUGUUUUGCACAAAUUCUGAUGUAUAUCCGGUGAUAAAUCAAUUAAGUGGUGAUGCGCAUAGCCCAGCAGCUUUUAGAAUUGCAGGCACUCUGUCAAAUAUUGAAGGAUUCGCUGAGACAUUUAAAUGUCCAAAAGGAACCAGAAUGAAUCCUAUUGAAAAAUGCAGUAUCUGGUAAUUUAAUUAUUUAUGCAUCGUCUGUUACUGCCAUUAAUUAUUUUUCAUGUACAUAUUCUUAUCGUUUUUUAUUUAGUUAUUAAUUUAAACUCAAUAUUAUUCUGUUACAAAGGUACAGACU